rnacentral:rRNA from 1 species
AGCGAACGCUGGCGGCAGGCCUAACACAUGCAAGUCGAACGAUGUCUUCGGACUUAGUGGCGGACGGGUGAGUAACACGUGGGAACGUGCCUUUAGGUUCGGGAUAACUCAGGGAAACUUGUGCUAAUACCGAAUGUGCCCUUCGGGGGAAAGAUUUAUCGCCUUUAGAGCGGCCCGCGUCUGAUUAGCUAGUUGGUGAGGUAAAGGCUCACCAAGGCUACGAUCAGUAGCUGGUCUGAGAGGAUGACCAGCCACAUUGGGACUGAGACACGGCCCAAACUCCUACGGGAGGCAGCAGUGGGGAAUCUUGCGCAAUGGGCGAAAGCCUGACGCAGCCAUGCCGCGUGGAUGAUGAAGGUCUUAGGAUUGUAAAAUCCUUUCACCGGUGAAGAUAAUGACUGUAGCCGGAGAAGAAGCCCCGGCUAACUUCGUGCCAGCCGCCGCCGUAAAAC